rnacentral:rRNA from 1 species
CCUACGGGUGGCAGCAGUGGGGAAUAUUGCGCAAUGGGCGAAAGCCUGACGCAGCGACGCCGCGUGAGGGAUGAAGGUCUUCGGAUCGUAAACCUCUGUCAGCAGGGAAGAACGGUCACUGUGCUAAUCAGCAGUGAAUUGACGGUACCUGCAAAGGAAGCACCGGCUAACUCCGUGCCCGCAGCCGAGGUAGUACGGAGGGUGCGAGCGUUAAUCGGAAUUACUGGGCGUAAAGGGAGCGUAGGCGGUAUGUCAAGUCAAGGGUGAAGGCCCCGGGCUCAACGUGGGAACUGCCUUUGAAACUGGCAGACUGGAGUGUGUGAGAGGUUAGCGGAAUUCCAGGUGUAGGAGUGAAAUGCGUAGAUAUCAGGAGGAACACCAGUGGCGAAGGCGACUUUCUGGCAUAUAACUGACGCUGAGGAGCGAAAGCGUGGGUAGCAAACAGGAUUAGAUACCCGAGUAGUC